rnacentral:rRNA from 1 species
GACAGAGGAUGCAAACGUUGCUCGGAAUUACUGGGCGUAAAGCGCGUGUAGGCGGCUUGGUAAGUCGGACGUGAAAUCCCGGGGCUCAACCCCGGAAGGGCGCUCGAUACUGCCGAACUUGGGUCCUGAAGAGGAGAGCGGAAUUCCCGGUGUAGAGGUGAAAUUCGUAGAUAUCGGGAGGAACACCAGUGGCGAAGGCGGCUUCCUGGCCUGUUCUUGACGCUGAGGCGCGAAAGCGUGGGGAGCAAACAGG